AUUGAACGCUGGCGGCAGGCCUAACACAUGCAAGUCGAGCGGAGCGGCGUACGGGUGAGUAAUGCCUAGGAAUCUGCCUGGUAGUGUGGGAUAACGUCCGGAAACGGGCGCUAAUACCGCAUACUAUCAGAUGAGCCUAGGUGUGUUUCUCUAGUUGGUGGGGUAAAGGCCUACAAAGGGGACGAUCCGUAACUGGUCUGAGAGGAGGAUCAGUCACACUGGACCUGGGACACGGGCCGGACGCCUACGGGAGGCAGCAGUGGGGAAUAUUGGACAAUGGGCGAAGGCCGGACCCAGCCAGGCGGCGUGUGUGAAGAAGGUCUUCGGAUUGUAAAGCACUUUAAGUUGGGAGGCGUUACCAAAAGAAUAAGCACCGGCUAACUUCGUGCCAGCAGCCGCGGUAAUUC
rnacentral:rRNA from 1 species